rnacentral:rRNA from 1 species
UACGUAGGGUGCGAGCGUUGUCCGGAAUUAUUGGGCGUAAAGAGCUCGUAGGCGGUGUGUCACGUCGUUCGUGAAAACCUGCAGCUUAACUGUGGGCGUGCGGUCGAUACGGGCAUCACUGGAGUUCGGCAGGGGAGACUGGAAUUCCUGGUGUAGCGGUGAAAUGCGUAGAUAUCAGGAGGAACACCAGUGGCGAAGGCGGCUCACUGGCCCGGUACUGACGCUGAGGCGCGAAAGCGUGGGGAGCGAACAGG